GAGGGAUAACAAAGGUUACCACUCAUGGAUGUAGGUAACUCAAGUUUGUAACGGGUACCAACUCAAAGAUGAAGGUAUAAAGGACUUGGACACAAUAUCUGUCAUGUCUGUUUUACUGAAUGAGAGUCACAAAGACUAUAUUGUUGCCUUCUUUUACUGGCAAUUUCUGAGCUUUAUCUGGAGACACGAGGUUCAAACUAGGAUAGAACUAGAAUGAAACGGUCAAACAAGACUUCAACUGA
rnacentral:lncRNA from 1 species